UACGGAGGGGGCUAGCGUUGUUCGGAAUUACUGGGCGUAAAGCGCGCGCAGGCGGUCUUUCAAGUCAGUGGUGAAAGCCCGGAGCUCAACUCCGGAAAUGCCAUUGAAACUGUAAGACUUGAGGAUGAGAGAGGUGAGUGGAAUUCCCAGUAUAGAGGUGAAAUUCGUAGAUAUUGGGAAGAACACCGGUGGCGAAGGCGGCUCACUGGCUCAUAUCUGACGCUCAGGCGCGACAGCGUGGGGAUCAAACAGG
rnacentral:rRNA from 1 species